rnacentral:rRNA from 1 species
GACGUAGGGCGCGAGCGUUGUCCGGAUUUAUUGGGCGUAAAGAGCUCGUAGGCGGCUUGUCGCGUCGACUGUGAAAUCCCGCGGCUCAACUGCGGGUCUGCAGUCGAUACGGGCAGGCUAGAGUUCGGUAGGGGAGACUGGAAUUCCUGGUGUAGCGGUGAAAUGCGCAGAUAUCAGGAGGAACACCGGUGGCGAAGGCGGAUCUCUGGGCCUUACCUGACGCUGAGGAGCGAAAGCAUGGGGAGCAAACAGG